UACUUAGCCAGCAAUAGGUGUGAGUGUGAGUUGACCCAACUUGAUUAGAACUUUUCUAAUCGAUUUAAGUCCAAACUGCGCGAACCCGAACUUAACAAUUAGAAUCCUUUCUAAUUAGUGAUCGAAUUAAACUCUUUAAUUCGAUCAAACCUAUAAGACAAGAUUGACGUCUAGCAACGUAUCAUGUCUACCCGAAAAAUAUAGAAUUUGGUGAAAAUACCAAAAAUACCCUUCAGUGGCAAGUUACCAUGCAAUUCAAUCCUUUAAUCAAACUGCAUCCCGAAUAUGUAUAUGAGUAUGAAUAUAUGUCAAACUCAAUUUCAUAUUCAUAU
rnacentral:lncRNA from 1 species